UUUUAACGAACGCCUGGCGGCAGGCCUAACACAUGUCAAGUCGGACGAGAAGGUAGCUUCGGCUACUGGAGAGUGGCGCACGGGUGAGUAACGCGUGGGGACCUACCUCUUAGUGGGGGAUAACGGUUGGAAACGACCGCUAAUACUGCAUACGCCCUUCGGGGGAAAGAUUUAUCGCUAAGAGAUGGACCCGCGUUGGAUUAGAUAGUUGGUGAGGUAACGGCUGACCAAGUCAGCGAUCCAUAGCUGGUUUGAGAGGAUGAUCAGCCACACUGGGACUGAGACACGGCCCAGACUCCUACGGGAGGCAGCAGUGGGGAAUAUUGGACAAUGGGGGCAACCCUGAUCCAGCCAUGCCGCGUGAGUGAAGAAGGCCUUCGGGUUGUAAAGCUCUUUCAGAUGCGAAGAUGAUGACGGUAACAUCGGAAGAAGCCCCGGCUAAUUUCGUGCCAGCAGCCGCGGUAAUACGAAAGGGGCUAGCGUUGUUCGGAUUUACUGGGCGUAAAGGGCACGCAGGCGGUCUUGCCAGUCAGGGGUGAAAGCCCGAGGCUCAACCUCGGAACUGCCUCUGAUACUGUAAGACUUGAGACUAGGAGAGGGUGGUGGAAUUCCCAGUGUAGAGGUGAAAUUCGUAGAUAUUGGGAGGAACACCAGAGGCGAAGCGGCCACCUGGACUAGAUCUGACGCUCAGGUGCGAAGCGUGGGGAGCAAACAGGAUUA
rnacentral:rRNA from 1 species